UAGCUGCUUAUACUGUGAACUGCGAAUGGCUCAUUAAAUCAGUUAUAGUUUAUUUGAUGGUACCUUACUACUCGGAUAACCGUAGUAAUUCUAGAGCUAAUACGUGCGCACAACCCGACUUCUGGAAGGGUCGUAUUUAUUAGAUCAAAGACCGACCGGCUUGCCGACCCUCGGUGAAUCAUGAUAACUUCACGAAUCGCAUGGCCUUUGUGCCGGCGAUGUUUCAUUCAAAUUUCUGCCCUAUUAACUUUCGAUGGUAAGAUAGAGGCUUACCAUGGUGCCGAUGGGUGACGGGGAAUUAGGGUUCGAUUCCGGAGAGGGAGCCUGAGAAACGGCUACCACAUCCAAGGAAGGCAGCAGGCGCGCAAAUUACCCAAUCCCGACACGGGGAGGUAGUGACAAGAAAUAACAAUACUUGGCUCUUACGAGUCCGGUAAUUGGAAUGAGUACAAUCUAAACCCCUUAACGAGGAUCCAUUGGAGGGCAAGUCUGGUGAAAUAGCUGUUUGACGCCAGAGAUAGUAGGGCAACCGAAAAGGUUGUUAAGCCUGCUAGUCGAGCAGUCAAUGAUGUGGGUCGGGUUGACUGCCGGCAAGGUGACCUGGUACGGGGAAGGCCUUCACCCUCGCAGAGGGAGGCUAAUCCCGUGGCGAGGCCGAGUAGAGCGAUCUUCUCAAGCCCGUCGUAACGCACGGUAAGGCACCGGCUGACUCAAUUGAGUUGGCUCAAGGGACGUGCUAAACCCACACGAUGACAAAGUGUGCUCUGAACAAUAGCUCCCGAUCAGCGAAGGUUCAGAGGGGUGAUGGUGUGUUGAGGAAAUGCUUCACACUAUAUCCGGUAGUAGUUGGCCAGCAGCCGCGGUAAUUCCAGCUCCAAUAGCGUAUAUUUAAGUUGCUGCAGUUAAAACGCUCGUAGUCGGUCUUCGGGAGGGCUGCUUCGGUUCGCCUUGUGUGAUACUGUCGCAGCCCUCUUUACUGCUGGUGCCUGGCUCCUGGGCUUCACUGUCCGGGACUAGAAGUCAGCAUUGUUACUGUGAGAAAAUUGGAGUGUUCAAAGCAAGCAAACGCUAUGCACACUUUAGCAUGGAAUAACGAUUAUUGGACUCGCGUCCAGUCGUUGGUCUAUGGUCUGCGAGUAACGACCAAUGGGGGCGAUCGGGGGCAUUCGUAUUGCAGUGCUAGAGGUGAAAUUCUUGGAUUUCUGCAAGACGAACAGCUGCGAAAGCGUUUGCCAAGGGCGCUUUCGUCGAUCAAGAACGAAAGUUGGGGGCUCGAAGACGAUUAGAUACCGUCCUAGUCUCAACCAUAAACGAUGCCGACUAGGGAUCAGCGAGGGUUCAAUCAACGACCUCGCUGGCACCUCAUGAGAAAUCAAAGUGUUUGGGUUCCGGGGGGAGUAUGGUCGCAAGGCUGAAACUUAAAGGAAUUGACGGAAGGGCACCACCAGGCGUUAAAGAACAUUAGCUCUAGCGCCAGUGAGUUGGCAACAACUUGCUAGUCCUUUUAUUGAAGGGCAAGACUGUCAAAUUGCUCGAAAGUCCUAAAGCCCUGCUUACCAAACUGUCUCCCGAAAGGGGUCAGUGGCCAAGGUGAUGAAGCCUUGGGUACGGUGAUAACAGCAGGGAUGCAACAAUGGAUGAUGAGCAGCCAAGUCCUAAGGGUCUCCGGAUCUACGGAUGCAGUUCACAGACUAAAUGGCAGUCGGCCAAUACUACCUGCGGUGGUUGGCUUAAGAUAUAGUCGGUCCCCACUGAGAGGUGGCCUCUAGGAGGAUGCAUGCUUCCACGAGCAGCUGAGAGCCUAGAGGGUACGGCAGUAAUACACACUGGGGCAACCCAGCGUGGGCUUAGACGGCCUGUCUUGCGGAGUACACGGGAGCCUGUGGCUUAAUUUGACUCAACACGGGAAAACUUACCAGGUCCAGACAUAGUGAGGAUUGACAGAUUGACAGCUCUUUCUUGAUUCUAUGGGUGAAAUAGUGUUUGCACUUACUGCCCAUCAAAGCAGCUGUCCGGCAAAUCACCGGGGAAAGCAGACUGCUAGUUGGCUCAUGUCCGCUUUGGUGAGGGCAUGUGGCUGGCAAGACCAUCGAAUUGCGGGGACACCCUUAGAGCCUGUACUACCAAGCUGUUUGCUGAAAGGCGCAGUGGCCGGGAUAAUGACCUUGGGUAUGGUAAAAACGUACAGGAUUGGGCAAUCCGCAGCCAAGCUCCUACGUGCUGAUGCAUAUGGAGAAGGUUCAGAGACUAGGUGGUGGUCGGUUCCCGUUGUACGAGGAGCUUAAGAUAGAGUCCGUCCACACCGAAAGGUGUACUUGAGAGGAAAGCCCUGAACCGGGGCCGGAGCUCAAGUGUGAUGUGCACGUAAGUAUGAACCCGUAUGCUAUGAAAGUGAUUGAUAGAUGAGUAGACAUGUAGCUGGUUAUCUGACUAUGCAAGUGUCUCCACAUCUGUCCAGUCACAUGGCAUCAAUCAAUUGCGUGCAUGUUGCGGGUUGUACGGGUGGUGCAUGGCCGUUCUUAGUUGGUGGGUUGCCUUGUCAGGUUGAUUCCGGUAACGAACGAGACCUCAGCCGCUAAAUAGUCACUUCCAGUUCGCUGGUCGGUAGACUUCUUAGAGGGACUUUCACCGUCUAGGUGAAGGAAGCGUGAGGCGAUAACAGGUCUGUGAUGCCCUUAGAUGUUCUGGGCCGCACACGCGCUACACUGACGCAACCAACGAGCACUCCUAGGCCGGAAGGCCCGGGUAAUCUCUAAUCUGCGUCGUGAUGGGGAUAGAUUAUUGCAAUUAUUAAUCUUCAACGAGGAAUGCCUAGUA
rnacentral:rRNA from 1 species